GAGAGGGAUUCUGACAUUGCUUUGCUGCACCAUCUUCAGUGACACGAGGCACCAUCAAACUCUCCGGACAGGAGCUAGCUGAUGUAGAGAAAGUGCUGAGGGUGCCUAAAGAAGAUAGACACUUGGGUAAGCUACGACCCUUGUUUCGAAAGUACGGUUUCCAGCCCUUAGUUUCCGAGUGCCAGAGACGAGCGAUGGAGAAGGUGGGCAAGAAAGUGGAGACUAGCACCAAGAAAAGGAGAGUGCCCAUGUUAGUUCCUUCAGAAGACAUCCUGUUUCACAAGGAAGCUCGCAAGCACCGAGUGAGACCAAUCAUUAAAACUAAGUCUCGAGAAGAAGUCCUCAAGGUUGCUGCCUCGAAGAAAGCUGAAGCUGAGGCCAUUGGAUGUGCUGCUGCCAUAGUUGCCGGGGAAGAUAGGCGAUUGUUGCCUCCUCUUCCUACUAUCAAUCCUAUCUUUCCUCCAGUUAGGGAGCACAUUGGGCAGAAAGGUGAUCCUAGUUCUAGCAGCAAGGGUAAAGAUAAAGAAG